CUGGGCCUACGGGGGGCAGCAGUGGGGGAUAUUGCACAAUGGGGGGAACCCUGAUGCAGCGACGCCGCGUGGGUGAGGGAGCGUUUCGGCGCGUAAAGCCCUAUCGGCAGGGAAGAAGGAGGACGGUACCUGACUAAGAAGCCCCGGCUAACUACGUGCCAGCAGCCGCGGUAAUACGUAGGGGGCAAGCGUUAUCCGGAUUUACUGGGUGUAAAGGGGGCGCAGAAGGCAGCG
rnacentral:rRNA from 1 species